ACAAACUUGGUCAUUUAGAGGAAGUAAAAGUCGUAACAAGGUUUCCGUAGGUGAACCUGCGGAAGGAUCAUUAUCGAUUCAAAACGGGGCUGCAAGAGGAUGUGCUGGCCCCCCUCUUCCAAAGGGGGAGGGCAGCGUGCACUCUCCUUCCCCCAACUUUUGUUGACCCUGUGCACCCUUUGUAGGCGGAGCAUGUCUUCGCCUACGCAUUUUUUGUUCAAAAACUCUUUGUAAUCGAGACUUUUAUGUGAAUGUGAUCAUAUUGAACAACUUUCAACAAUGGAUCUCUUGGCUCUCGCAUCGAUGAAGAACGCAGC
rnacentral:misc_RNA from 1 species